UAGUCCACGCCGUAAACGAUGAUUACUCGGUGCUAGCGAUAUAAUGUUAGUGCCCAAGCGAAAGUGAUAAGUAAUCCACCUGGGAAGUACGGUCGCAAGAUUGAAACUCAAAGGAAUUGACGGGGGCCCGCACAAGCGGUGGAGCAUGUGGUUUAAUUCGAUGAUACGCGAGGAACCUUACCUGGGCUUAAAUGUAGAUUGACAGUCAAAGAGAUUUGAUUUUCUUCGGACAAUUUACAAGGUGCUGCAUGGUUGUCGUCAGCUCGUGCCGUGAGGUGUCGGGUUAAGUCCCAUAACGAGCGCAACCCUUACCGUUAGUUGCCAUCAGGUCAAGCUGGGGACUCUAGCGGAACUGCCUGCGCAAACAGAGAGGAAGGUGGGGAUGACGUCAAAUCAGCACGGCCCUUAUGUCCAGGGCUACACACGUGCUACAAUGGUCGGUACAGAGGGCAGCUACCUAGCGAUAGGAUGCCAAUCUCGAAAGCCGAUCUCAGUUCGGAUC
rnacentral:rRNA from 1 species